rnacentral:rRNA from 1 species
CCUACGGGAGGCAGCAGUGAGGAAUAUUGGUCAAUGGGAGAGAUCCUGAACCAGCCAAGCCGCGUGAGGGAUGACGGCCCUAUGGGUUGUAAACCUCUUUUGUCGGGGAACAAAUCCCGGGACGUGUCCCGUACUGCGUGUAUCCGAAGAAAAAGCAUCGGCUAACUCCGUGCCAGCAGCCGCGGUAAUACGGAGGAUGCGAGCGUUAUCCGGAUUUAUUGGGGUUAAGGGGUGGGUAGGCGGUCCGUUAAGUCAGCGGUAAAAUUGCGGGGCUAAACCCAGUAGGGCAGUUGAAAGUGGCAGACUUGAGUUGGCGAGAGGUACGCGGAAUGCGCGGUGUAGCGGUGAAAUGCAUAGAGAUCGCGAAGAAUUCUGAUUGCGAAGGCAGCGUACCGGCGCCAGACUGACGCUGAGGCACGAAAGCGUGGGGAUCGAACAGGAUUAGAUACCCCUGUAGUC